rnacentral:rRNA from 1 species
GUGGGGAAUAUUGGACAAUGGGCGAAAGCCUGAUCCAGCCAUGCCGCGUGUGUGAAGAAGGUCUUCGGAUUGUAAAGCACUUUAAGUUGGGAGGAAGGGCAGUAAGUUAAUACCUUGCUGUUUUGACGUUACCGACAGAAUAAGCACCGGCUAACUUCGUGCCAGCAGCCGCGGUAAUACGAAGGGUGCAAGCGUUAAUCGGAAUUACUGGGCGUAAAGCGCGCGUAGGUGGUUUUGUAAGUUGGAGGUGAGAUCCCCGGGCUCAACCUGGGAACUGCCUCCAAAACUGCAUGACUAGAGUACGGUAGAGGGUAGUGGAAUUUCCUGUGUAGCGGUGAAAUGCGUAGAUAUAGGAAGGAACACCAGUGGCGAAGGCGACUACCUGGACUGAUACUGACACUGAGGUGCGAAAGCGUGGGGAGCAAACAGGAUUAGAAACCCUAGUAGUCC